UACGAAGGGGGCUAGCGUUGUUCGGAAUUACUGGGCGUAAAGCGCACGUAGCGGGUCGUAAGUCAGGGGUGAAAUCCCGGAGCUCAACUCCGGAACUGCCUUUGAUACUGGCGACCUUGAGGCCGGAAGAGGUUAGUGGAAUUCCCCAGUGUAGAGGUGAAAUUCGUAGAUAUUCGCAAGAACACAGUGGCGAAGGCGCUUCCUGGA
rnacentral:rRNA from 1 species